rnacentral:rRNA from 1 species
GUCGAACGGUAACGCGGGGCAACCUGGCGACGAGUGGCGAACGGGUGAGUAAUGCAUCGGAACGUACCCAGUAGUGGGGGAUAGCCCGGCGAAAGCCGGAUUAAUACCGCAUACGACCUACGGGUGAAAGGGGGGGAUCGCAAGACCUCUCGCUAUUGGAGCGGCCGAUGUCAGAUUAGGUAGUUGGUGGGGUAAAGGCCUACCAAGCCGACGAUCUGUAGCUGGUCUGAGAGGACGACCAGCCACACUGGGACUGAGACACGGCCCAGACUCCUACGGGAGGCAGCAGUGGGGAAUUUUGGACAAUGGGCGCAAGCCUGAUCCAGCCAUGCCGCGUGCGGGAAGAAGGCCUUCGGGUUGUAAACCGCUUUUGUCAGGGAAGAAAUCUUCUGGGUUAAUACCUCGGGAGGAUGACGGUACCUGAAGAAUAAGCACCGGCUAACUACGUGCCAGCAGCCGCGGUAAUACGUAGGGUGCAAGCGUUAAUCGGAAUUACUGGGCGUAAAGCGUGCGCAGGCGGUUAUGCAAGACAGAUGUGAAAUCCCCGGGCUCAACCUGGGAACUGCAUUUGUGACUGCAUAGCUGGAGUGCGGCAGAGGGGGAUGGAAUUCCGCGUGUAGCAGUGAAAUGCGUAGAUAUGCGGAGGAACACCGAUGGCGAAGGCAAUCCCCUGGGCCUGCACUGACGCUCAUGCACGAAA